UUCUGUUUCGCAACUCUCUCUCCCUCUAUGACUCUCAUUCCACAACAAAGACGAAAAUCAUCCCCUAACCUCUCUCUUUCUCUCCCCUUCACGAACGAAAACCAUACCCAUGAAAAUGUCACACUGGUUCACGUCGAUUCCCAUGGAUCCUCAACGGGUGCCAACGAAAGGAAUACCAAAAUUUUUAAGAGCAAAGAACCCAAGAGAGACUCAAGCAAUGAAGAAACAACGUUGUGGCAUUUGCAAGGUUGAGGGCCAUAUGAGGAACAAUUGCCCUUCAUUGGAGUAUGGGAUAUUGGAAAUAUAAAUGACAACAAAUCACGAAGGGUGGAUCUUGAAUAAGAAACAUCAGGAAAUGUGUAUAGAGAUGAAGGCAUUGUUUCCAUGGAAGCUAUUUGUAUUUUGGACUUGAUUUUUGGACCUAUGUAUUUGGUUGUGCGUUGUGUAUUUGUAUUUUGAUUAGAACUUGCAAAUUCGUAUUGGCUAAAAUUAGAACUUGCCAAGUCUAUUGAAUAUUUCGGAUCA